CCUUGGGGUCCACAUCCUGAGUGGAUGAAGAAAGAGUUCUGUUCCAGGGAAUGUCCUGAGGGGCUCCUUAGGAAGUGCAGGCUUUGGCGUGGCCUCCGUUCCAGCCUGGGGGCCAGACUCUCCAGGGCCUGGGCCAGGCAGGAGCCACUCACCCAGGCUCCCAGGACACCCCGCCCUCUCCAUCCACGUCUCGGCCGAGGACACACCUGAGAACUGAGGGCACAGGGCUCCGGUCAGGGGUGGGAUGGGGGUUAGGAGGGGCCCUCCACGUUUGCCACCCUGCAGUACACCCCCAGAGAGUCCAGAGCAUCAGAUGUCACAGGGCGUUGUCCCCUUCUUGGCCUUUCCUUGGUGAUCUGGUGAUGCUGCAUCUGGUGAUGGGUGACUAUCAGGAGGCUGGUGAGGCAGCAAAGCCACCUGAGGGAGGGCACAGCUGUGAGAGGUUUAUGAGCUGGACUCAGCCUCUCCCUCCUGCGGGGCCCACAGUGGGACAGAGAAGUUGGGCCCCUCCAGUCAGGCAGCAGGGGAAGGAGAUCAACCUCGAGAAAAGGACUGAGGACUACAGAGCCAUGAGGGAGAGCCUGCUGCUCCGGAUGGCUGCAAACAAUUACAGGCUAGAGCCCGAGGAGUGAUUUGGGGCCUGGUUCCGGCACAUGGAGCUGCUCAGUGGAAAUGAGAGCUGAGGCCAGCUGGAGUCAGGGGAGGGCAGAGGUCGACUUUCCCUGGUGACCAGUCCAGAGAGCCCAUGUUCAUGGCCCCUGGUCAGCCCCAGGCCUUGUUGCAUGGUAAUCUCUGGGACACCCAGACUCCAGCUACUGGCAGGCAGUGGGGGGACACCUGAGGUGUGGCUCUUGGUCAACUCUCAGUGCCUCUCUGUCCUGUAGCUGCAGCCUGUCCUGCUAGCUGGAGCCCCUAGUCUGGUUGGCCAGCAGAAUACUCAAGGCCGAGAAGAAGGGGUCAUCAUCAAGUUCAGGCACGAGUGUCUAGACUGGUGGUGACUAAAUCCUAGGGGUUUAGUGAAGCUUCAGGCUGAGUGUGGUCUUGGGGAGUCAGACAGCUGGCGCUGGGAGCCCAGCCCCACCACUGACCAGUCCUGUGACUGGGGAGAUUCCCUUCAGCUUCCUGAGACUCAGUUUACUCCUCCGUGAAAUAGGUGAUGGCAAAUGAUCACUCAUGUGGCAGGGACAAACGGGGUACUAUUGGCUGACUGAGCACAGGGCCUGGAGCACAGAGUGCAGUGGGGCUGGGGAGGGGGGCCGUGAUUCUGGGAGAGGCACCUCAAGAUAACCUGACUCUUCUAUUCAGCCACCAGAACCCCAACACUGAGCCCUGUACCACUGGCAGAUCACAGCCCCAUCCUCAGCAGUGGGGACUUGGCUGGGAUGCUUGGCAUGCACUGGGCCAGCUCCUCCUGCCUGAUGGGAAGGGGAGCAUUGUAAGCUGAUUCCUGAUUCCUAGGGUCCCCUGAGACCCGGGAGAGAGGGGACAACCCUGCCCCAUCUGCCUGACAUCUCUACCCCGGCACCUAUUUACCUAUUGAGGAGGGACAAGAUUCAUGAUUGUAAAUAGUAAAUGUUAGAUAUGAAUAUUAUAACAAAAUCUUGUCUCUUUCACAGCCUGGGCGUGGUGGUGUGGUUCUUUCACUUUCUGUGCUCAUGUAAAUCAAACACAGAAUCUCACAUUCCCCCUUGAAUUCAGAAACCUUGCAGAGUCAUCAGCUUAUUGUAUGUGGGAGAAGGGAGAAGGGAGAAGGGAGAAGGGCCAGCCCCUCCUUGGCUAGUGAGGACACUCCCAAGUCCCCCUCACUCAGAGGACAAGUUCAUCUGAGUAUCAUUCACCUGUCCAGGAGCAGAGACAGCCCCCCAGAUCUCCCGGACUUUAGAGGCAGAGCAACAGCCACUGAAAUUGGGGUGUCUUUAAAAAUAGCCUGAGCUGGGACCACCUUGUGCCCCAGAACACUAGCUGCCUUUCUACCCUCUGGAGGAAGAGGAAGCAUCUUUUGCUUGUCCUGUUGAGGUUUCUUUUGACCAGAUAUUAGGAAAGUAGUUUCCUAGUUCAAUUGCUGGAAUUGCAUCAGCUCUAAGUGGGGAAAAUACUGUAAAAAGCUCAAAUGUGCAUGGAGAGGAUGAGGCCAGAGGAAGGUCCUGUGCAGAUGGACUAAGGGCAGGCAGAACUCUCCCUUCUCGGGCCCCUCUAGGGGUUCCCUAUUCACCCUUGACCUAGACUUGAUCCUCCUGGGAUUCUGGUCCAUGACUCUGAAUUCCUUUUCCUGCUUGUUUUCUUUCCAAGGGGAAACAUUUACGAUGCAGCUUUUAGGGCCCCAGCCGUGUCUUCCUCCAUAAACCUGGUGCUCCCUUGAACUGGGAUUUUCAGCAUCCCUGCAUUUCUCAAACAAUUCUUUCUUAGGGCAGAAAUUCCCUAGAUGCCCCCAGCCUUUCUGUCAUAUACAUCGUGGCCACUCCUCCCAGGCUGGGCCUGAUGGAUCCCAGGUGAGCUCUGGUUUGCCAGGAUAACAGACCAUAAUCCCAACCAGAAAUGACCCCACAGUCUCCCUUGCUGCCCAAGUUGGCUUCUGGGCCCAUGUUGUUCUGAGGUCCAUAGUCAUGGACGGUCGACCAGUUUACACACUCAGUGGCGGUCGUACCACUUUAUGUUAAAGGGGCCGCUAGGCCUGAGCCCAUAAAGCAUGUAGCCCUUGGGGUGGCUGUGUUCUUUUCCCAAGUCUCAUGCUACAGUUACAUUAUGGGGGUGUGAGCCUUUCCUGUUGGGAUCUUUGAAAGAUGAGGCAUGAAAGGGAUGUGAGUAGAGUCCAGCAGGGAAUGCCACCAAACCGAUGAUCCGUGGAUGUGUAUGGACACAGCCUUAUCAAGUAAAAUACUGAAAAGCUUCCCAUCUGGGUGAUCAACAGAUAGUACUCUGCGGUCACCCUAAGACCCACCACCCCCCCAUGACCAGGAGCUACAAACACCCCUCAUGACUGGCAUUUUGAACCUCAUCCCUUGGAAACACCCUGAAAGACAAGGGCCAGAUGAUUUGCUUGGCACUUCUGAGUUAUCCUCUCCUUCCUGAUGGCCGCAAGUGUCACUCAGACACACGGAAGGCUGGGCCCUGCCAGGGAGGCCUUCUCAGGACAGCUAGAAGCUGAGGAUAAAUCCUGGUUCCCAGCAGCCGAGGCUCUUUCUGACAUGGAACUGCCAACCAGGAAAGUGAUUUGCUAAAGGAAAGACUAGGAAGGCUGUGCUUUCCCUCCAAAGAGAAAGAGGAGUGCCAGGUCCCAGGGCUGGCCCAGGGCUGGGAGGGAGGCAUUAGUGUCUGAAGGGUUUCUCCUGCAGGACUGUGAGGCUCCUGAGAGGCAGCCCUGUAUGAGUGACAUAUAAGCCCUGUGCCUUCCAUAUGGCAGAGGAGGUACAAUUCAUUGUCUCUGGUCAUCCACUGGCCAAAAGUGCAGACAGUCAUACAGAGGAGUCACCCAUAUUUGCAGUGAGGAUCACCUAUCAAUCUUUUUUUACAUUCUCAGGUCCAAAAUUUGUUUGUUUGUUUUUUUUUUUUGCAUUUUUAUGUUUCUGUUUUUGAACUUCUCAUUUUGUUCUUGUCCCGUUUUCUUCAUUUCCUUACAUUGUUCAGCUCUUGGAGCUGCUUUCAAAUGGUUAUUGUGAUCUCUUCUUCUAUAGUACAUCAAGGAUGUUCCAUUUCAUCCUGUGAUCUCCACAUUUUGGUCCAUGUUAGAGCCAGUUAACUGAUCAGACCGUUAGCACUCUUUGUACCCCUCAAAACACACCAUUGAAUAAAGAACCUCUGGUGAGUGGGACCAAAUCAAUUCAUUCCACCAAAUCAACUGCGUGUUCCUUCCUCCAUUAUCCCAACCCCCUAAUAGCCCGCUUCUUCACAGUUGUCCAUAGGUUUCCAUCUAUGCGACCUUGGAAGAGGAUGCAGCAAUUUGGCAGUGCAGCACAAUUCCUCAUGAGCCCCCUUUUGUACCUCAUGCUUUGGACCUGCUGGGUGCUGAGAGUGGAGUCUAUCUUGAUCAAGUCUUGGUCUUGAAGCCAAGAAGGCUGGUGGGUAUACGUCCUGAGGAGGAUCAGUUGUGUCUUACAAGGCAAUGACCUCUGGGGGACCAUGACAGGACACUCAGGAAAAGCAGAGUUAACCUCCUCAGACAGGAGGAGGACCAACAAGGCUGACUCUGUGCAAAGUGGGAGUUGAAUGUUCCAGCUUAGUCAAGAACUGUUUGUACAUCCCCACUUCAGUUGUCAGGACUCCAUUCCUAUUAAAUCAAUGCUAUCAUUUUCACCACUCUGUAGACAGGAAUUUAGUUUGUGUUGUAAUUCAGCCACUUGAAGGAAGAGAUUCUGGGUUAGGUUUCCUCAGCUCUGAAGCUACAGGAAAUAAGGGUUUAUUUCCUGGAAGAUAUAGAAACUUCAGGUCAGUUAUGGUGGUUGAGCUGAGCUGGGAAUUUGACACCCUGAGCUCACGUUUUUCUUUUCUCAUUUAAUCAGGUGCAAUUAGGAGCAGUUAGUUAAUUUCAUUACACUUGUUAAUUUAUCAAAAAUGAUCUAAAGUAUCAAGCACAUAGUCACUGUGAACUUUGCCUUUUAUAAAUAUUUGGUUAGGAAUAUCCAAUGGUGAUAUUUUGUGUAUCCCUGUUGCCACAUCCUGCCGUGGACUCUCAGUGCCCUCUUUAACAUAGGAAAUAGGGUCCUGGUGCCUUUCAAUUUAACCAAACUAGAGAACCAAUCCCAGAAACCCCAGAACCAUUUCGGAAAACACAUCUUUAAGAUUCUUUUCUUAUACAACCAUCCUUGGUACCAAAAUCUGUUUUAGAGUUCUCCAGGGCAAAGAAACAUGUAUUUAUAACAUGAACGUAUACAUCCAUAGAACCUCACUUAACCACGGGGACAUGUCCUGAGAAAUGUGUCAUUAGGUGAUUUCACCAUUGUGUGAACAUCAUACUUACACAAAGCUAGAUGGUACAGUCUACUACACACCUAGGCUAUAUCGUGCUAAUCUUAUGGGACCACCAUUGUAUAUACAUUCUGUCACUGAUGGAAGCAUCAUCAUGCGGCACAUGACUAUAUAUAUGUGUAUAUGUAUACAGAGAAACACCUAUGAAGAGAUUUAUUUCAUGGAAUUAUUCUUCUGAUUGUGGGAGGUGGCAAGUUUGAAGUGCAGGGAGGCCAGCAGACUAGAAACUCUGCAGGAUUUUAAACUUCGAUCUGAGGCAUAAUUUCUUCACCAGGAAACUUCAACUUUUCCUUUUAGGGGUUUCAACUAAGUGAAACCCACCCAUAUUUUCAAGGGUAAUAUCCUCCAAAGUCAACUGAUCAUAGAUGUGUUUGAUUAAACAACUGGGCCAAAUUGACGCAGAAGAC
ensembl:lncRNA